UACGUAGGGCGCAAGCGUUGUCCGGAAUUAUUGGGCGUAAAGAGCUCGUAGGCGGCUUGUCACGUCGAUUGUGAAAGCCCGAGGCUUAACCUCGAGACGUCGGUUGAAACCGUAUGGCUAGAGUCCGGAAGAGGAGAGUGGAAUUCCCGGUGUAGCGGUGAAAUGCGCAGAUAUCGGGAAGAACACCCGUGGCGAAGGCGGCUCUCUGGGACGGUACUGACGCUGAGACGCGAAAGCGUGGGGAGCGAACAGG
rnacentral:rRNA from 1 species